rnacentral:siRNA from 1 species
GCCCCAUAUGAAUGGUUGAUG